AAGCAGCUGCAGUUACUGCCCACCCGUCGCUUCAUCCGUCUACGGCUCGAGCGUGUGCUCCCAGGCGAAGCGGCGACGAAGAUCCCCGUUGUAGGGCGCGCUGCGGGGAGGAGGCGGCGGCCAUGAUCCGUUGCCCGCGCGGGAGGAGGGGGGUUCAGUUUUGGCGCCGCGCUGCCAAUUUUUUUCCCGUUCCCCAUUGCAGCAGCUAUCUCCAUUCUUCCCCAACUCCGGCCACCUUCGAUUCGCCACCUAUGCGGAGCUCUCCCGCCAGUGCCGCCUCUGCUCGCCACGCCGCUUCCUUGCCGCGUGGUCCUCCCGUUCACGCCUCUGGUGAGCGUGGCCUCCUAAGUAUUUCCAUCUAAUUCUUUUGUGAAUCAUUGAAUUGCGUUGGCCUUGUGUGCAGGUCAGGAGGAUUACAACAAAUUGGGGUUUCGGACUGUACUAUUUCUUUACAACAAGUCAGUUUACGUUCGCGUUUCCGGUUGAUGUUUGUUUCCUAUAGAUUCCAGUUACAACACUGCCUAGAACAAAUGUGUCCUAGAUUUUAAUGACAAGUGCCAGGGCUGAUAAAAUAAGCAAAAGUCCUACUGCAAAUUUAUUUUGGACCAAUCAAGCCAUACAUAUCAAUGUGUAGUGAUAGGAACUGGUGCUUCUACUUUUGAUGCCCUGGCACCCACAUUGUAUAAGUGAGAAGACACAAGAUUAAUCUAUGCUUAGCAUACAAGGUUAACACAGAUUAAUCUUCAGAAAGUUAGUUCAGCUACAAAAAUGGAUCAGGCAGCUUACUUAUUGAACUGCACAUCUUGGUUUCAUUGAUGUUCAGUUACUGCAAAACACUCCAAAAGUUACUGAAUUGUUUUCAACUAUUUGUUCUAAUUGCCUUUGGUUCAGCAAUUAUAGGAGGACAAUUUAACUAUUAUUAUCUUAGCUUGUCACAUCAACUUGUCACUGAUUGUUUCCUAUACAUAAGUAGAAAUCUGUCACUACUCACUAAAUCAUUUCUGAAACCUGUUAGCAGAAUGUAUGUAUAUUGAUAUCAUAUUGUCAUUUUAUCAUCUGUUUGUGCCUGUCAAGUAUGAACUGUGUAUGUCUUUUCUUUCCUAUCAAGUAUGAACUGAGCAUGUCAUUUUAAUCCUGUCAAGUGAGAACUAUUUCUUGUCAUUUUUAUUUUGCAUUCAAGUGUCUGAAAUGGCCAUUGCCAUUCUAGUGUUAACUGAAUUGGCCACUUGCUUUUGCUUUUGCUCUGUCUCGAGUAAAGAUAGACAACUGAAUUGGCACAUUUCAGGGUUGGUGGCUCAUCUGUUGCUGCCGACUGGAGACUGAACAUUUUUGACUGGAGACUGAACACUCAGGCAAAGAUAUAUAGACAACUGAACUUGCAUCUAUUGCAGUCAUCUGUUUGUUAGACUCUCUUCCUUUUCAAGUGUUAGCUAGAAAUUUAUUUGUGAAAUGGCUGCAUGUAUUCAUGUGUGGUGGCUAUUUACAUUCAUGUCUGGUGAACUAUUUUCAUUCAUACGUGUAUCAAUUGAAGAGUGUGAACUGCCAGCUUUGUGAGUAUGAACUGAAUUAUGCCAACUUAACAUGCUUUGUGAGCUUUGUGAA